AGAGUUUGAUCAUGGCUCAGGAUGAACGCUAGCGGCAGGCCUAAUACAUGCAAGUCGAACGGUAAGCUUUGUAGCAAUAUGAAGCCUAGAGUGACGUAAGGGUGCGUAACACGUAUGCAAUCUACCCUCAACAGGAGUAUAGCUCGGGGAAACUCGGAUUAACACUCCACAAUAUUACGAAGUGGCAUCACUUUGUGACUAAAACUGCGGUGGUUGAGGAUGAGCAUGCGUCUGAUUAGUUAGUUGGUGAGGUAACGGCUCACCAAGACGAUGAUCAGUAGGGGAACUGAGAGGUUGAUCCCCCACACUGGCACUGAGAUACGGGCCAGACUCCUACGGGAGGCAGCAGUAGGGAAUAUUGGUCAAUGGGUGAGAGCCUGAACCAGCCAUGCCGCGUGCAGGAAGACGGCCUUCUGGGUUGUAAACUGCUUUUAUCUGGGGAUAAAAAGCCCAUGCGUGGGACAUUGAAGGUACCAGAUGAAUAAGCACCGGCUAACUACGUGCCAGCAGCCGCGGUAAUACGUAGGGUGCAAGCGUUGUCCGGAUUUAUUGGGUUUAAAGGGUGCGUAGGCGGUCUAUUAAGUCAGUGGUGAAAUCCAACAGCUCAACUGUUGAUGUGCCAAUGAUACUGAUGGACUUGAGUACAGACGAGGUAGGCGGAAUUGACAGUGUAGCGGUGAAAUGCAUAGAUAUUGUCAAGAACACCGAUAGCGAAGGCAGCUUGCUAGCCUGUAACUGACGCUGAGGCACGAAAGUAUG
rnacentral:rRNA from 1 species